ensembl:snRNA U5 U5 spliceosomal RNA
AACUCUUGUUUCUCUUCAGAUCGUAUAAAUCUUUCGCCUUUUACUAAAGAUUUCCGUGGAGAGGAACAACAAGAGAUUACUCCAAUUUUUGAUAUCCUGCUUCUACAGCAGGGU